rnacentral:rRNA from 1 species
AACGAACGCUGGCGGCGUGGAUAAGACAUGCAAGUCGAACGCUGAUCUGUUGGUAGCAAUAUCGGCAGGUCGGAGUGGCGCAAGGGUGCGUAACACGUGGGCAAUCUACCGCAAAGACCGGAAUAACCUGCUGAAAAGUGGGCUAAUGCCGGAUGUUGAUCUCGGGGGGAUUCUCCUGAAAUCCAAAGUUGGGGACCGUAAGGCCUGACACUUUGCGAUGAGCCCGCGGCCUAUCAGCUAGUUGGUGAGGUAACGGCUCACCAAGGCUAAGACGGGUAGCUGGUCUGAGAGGACGACCAGCCACACUGGAACUGAGACACGGCCCAGACUCCUACGGGAGGCAGCAGUGGGGAAUAUUGGACAAUGGGGGCAACCCUGAUCCAGCCAUGCCGCGUGAGUGACGAAGGCCUUC